UGCACUUGCGGACACACCGUAUCAGUGUGUGAGUAUGAAUUGACAUACGGAUGUGUGAGUGCUCCAGAUGGCCUUUAAUGUGAUUAUGACUUGACCUGUCUGAACUGUGUGAAGGUGUUGCAAUUAUUCUUAGGGAUGCACUAGACUUAGGUAGUUAUAGAAAUUAUUUGUACCUUUCUUUUGUUUAACCUGCUUUCCACCUCGUAGGUCUCUUAGUUGCUUUAUCUAUAUUUUGAGUUGUAACUUUUGAAAGUUCUAUAACUUCACAUGUGUAACAGAUGAUUAUUUAAAAUAUGUAAUUUAUUGAUUUUGUAUUGUGGAUUUAUGGAUUGAAUGGGUUAUGUGGAUGAGAGAGCUGAGCUCUCAGUGAUCAUAUUGAAUUAUUGAUGAUUGUAAGGGUGAGUUGAGCUACCAAAAUAAUUUUAUUUUGUGAUCACAGGUUGGGUGAGCUAAAAAUUUUUUGUUGGGUAGUCCAUUUUAUGGCCGGAUUCUGUCCGGUUGUUUUUCUAAAAUUUGGGCUCAAAUAUGGGCUUUAU
rnacentral:misc_RNA from 1 species